UCUGUAUGGGACAAGAGGGCACAAAGA
rnacentral:piRNA from 1 species